rnacentral:rRNA from 1 species
UACGUAGGGCGCAAGCGUUGUCCGGAAUUAUUGGACGUAAAGAGCUCGUAGGCGGCCUGUUGCGUCCGCUGUGAAAUCCCGGGGCUUAACCCCGGGCUUGCAGUGGAUACGGGCAGGCUGGAGGCAGGCAGGGGAGAACGGAAUUCCCGGUGUAGCGGUGAAAUGCGCAGAUAUCGGGAGGAACAUCGGUGGCGAAGGCGGUUCUCUGGGCCUGUACUGACGCUGAGGAGCGAAAGCGUGGGGAGCGAACAGG